rnacentral:sRNA from 1 species
AGAAAAGUAUUUCGUACAGAACACAACUAAAUGAAAGAAAAAAACACGUAGAAAUGAUAUAAAUGCAAGGUGUAUAUCAUCCUGUGCUACAGAACCUGCUCUCGGGACAAGAAUUGGUCAGUAACGAACGAUGGGGAUCAACAAUCAUAAAAUCCUGAUUGUCUUCUUUGUGCUGUUUGGACUAAUUGCUUAUGGGAUGUCGGGAGACGUCGAUACUGACCAAAAAGAUGUUGGCAAGGGCAAACUGGAUAAACGGUAUUUUAGAUCUGAACAGCCAAGAAAAAGAUCGGAUUGGUGGAGUUAUAAGGAGAAUGGUGUUGAUAAAUUAAAGGGUUGAAAAAAAGUAUAAACAUAUAUAAAUAAAGUGAAAAUGAAAUCCU